rnacentral:rRNA from 1 species
CCUACGGGGGGCUGCAGUGGGGAAUAUUGGACAAUGGGCGAAAGCCUGAUCCAGCCAUGCCGCGUGUGUGAAGAAGGCCUUCGGGUUGUAAGGCACUUUCAGUGGGGAAGAAAGCCUUGGGGCUAAUACCCUCGAGGAAGGACAUCACCAACAGAAGAAGCACCGGCUAACCCGUGCCAGCAGCCGCGGUAAUACGGUGGGUGCGAGCGUUAAUCGGAAUUACUGGGCGUAAAGCGCGCGUAGGCGGUCUGAUAAGCCGGUUGUGAAAGCCCCGGGCUCAACCUGGGAACGGCAUCCGGACCUGUCAGGCUAGAGUGCAGGAGAGGAAGGUAGAAUUCCCGGUGUAGCGGUGAAAUGCGUAGAGAUCGGGAGGAAUACCAGUGGCGAAGGCGGCCUUCUGGACUGACACUGACGCUGAGGUGCGAAAGCGUGGGUAGCAAACAGGAUUAGAUACCCGGGUAGUC